AGAGUUUGAUCAUGGCUCAGAACGAACGCUGGCGGCGUGCUUAACACAUGCAAGUCGAGUGCGCGGUUGUAGCAAUACAACUGGCGCACGGCGCACGGGUGCGUAACACGUGGGUAAUCUGCCCUUCGAUGGGGAAUAACUCGCCGAAAGGCGAGCUAAUUCCGCAUAACAUUCCGGGGACUUUGGUCUUCGGAUUCAAAGGCGUAAGUCGUCGGAGGAGGAGCCCGCGCACGAUUAGCUAGUUGGUAGGGUAACGGCCUACCAAGGCUUUGAUCGUUAGCUGGUCUGAGAGGAUGGCCAGCCACACUGGAACUGAGACACGGUCCAGACUCCUACGGGAGGCAGCAGUGGGGAAUCUUGCACAAUGGGCGAAAGCCUGAUGCAGCGACGCCGCGUGGGGGAUGAAGCUUCUCGGAGUGUAAACCCCUUUCGACCCGGACGAAUGCCCCGCAAGGGGACUGACGGUACGGGUAUAAGAAGCCCCGGCUAACUACGUGCCAGCAGCCGCGGUAAGACGUAGGGGGCCAGCGUUGUUCGGAAUUACUGGGUGUAAAGGGUUCGUAGGCGGUGUGGCAAGUCGGGAGUGAAAUCUCUGGGCUCAACUCAGAGACUGCUUCCGAAACUGCUGUGCUGGAGUGUGGGAGAGGCGCGUGGAAUUGCAGGUGUAGCGGUGAAAUGCGUAGAUAUCUGCAGGAACACCCGUGGCGAAAGCGGCGCGCUGGACCACUACUGACGCUGAGGAACGAAAGCUAGGGGAGCAAACAGGAUUAGAUACCCUGGUAGUCCUAGCCCUAAACGAUCACGACUUGGGGUGCCACCCGUUCGGGUGUCGUCCCGGAGCUAACGCGUUAAGUCCUGCACCUGGGGAGUACGUCGCAAGACUGAAACUCAAAGGAAUUGACGGGGCCCGCACAAGCGGUGGAACAUGUGGUUCAAUUCGA
rnacentral:rRNA from 1 species